UAAAUCACCCAUGAGUGGGGAUACUUUGUG
rnacentral:piRNA from 1 species